rnacentral:rRNA from 1 species
UACGUAGGGGGCAAGCGUUGUCCGGAAUCAUUGGGCGUAAAGCGCGUGUAGGCGGUCCGGUAAGUCCGCUGUGAAAGUCGGGGGCUUAACCCUCGGAUGCCGGUGGAUACUGUCGGGCUUGAGUACGGAAGAGGCGAGUGGAAUUCCUGGUGUAGCGGUGAAAUGCGCAGAUAUCAGGAGGAACACCGGUGGCGAAGGCAGCUCUCUGGGACGGUACUGACGCUGAGACGCGAAAGCGUGGGGAGCGAACAGG